rnacentral:rRNA from 1 species
GAUGAACGCUGGCGGCGUGCCUAAUACAUGCAAGUCGAGCGAACAGACGAGGAGCUUGCUCCUCUGACGUUAGCGGCGGACGGGUGAGUAACACGUGGAUAACCUACCUAUAAGACUGGGAUAACUUCGGGAAAGCGGAUCUAAUACCGGAUAAUAUAUUGAACCGCAUGGGUCAAUAGUGAAAGACGGUUUUGCUGUCACUUAUAGAGGGUUCCGGGCCGCAUUAGCUAGUUGGUAAGGUAACGGCUUACCAAGGCAACGAUGCGUAGCCGACCUGAGAGGGUGAUCGGCCACCCUGGAACUGAGACACGGUCCAGACUCCUACGGGAGGCAGCAGUAGGGAAUCUUCGGCAAUGGGCGAAAGCUUGACGGAGCAACGCCGCGUGUGUGAUGAAGGUCUUCGGAUCGUAAAGCUCUGUUAUUAGGGAAGAACAAAUGUGUACGUAACCAUGGCCGUCUUGACGGUACCUAAUCAGAAAGCCACGGCUAACUACGUG